rnacentral:rRNA from 1 species
UGUUUUUCAAAAACAUAGCCUUAGGGAAAUUGAUCUAAGGUUAAACCUGCCCAAUGUUGAGUACUUAAAUUAUAUAUUAAUGGCCGCGGUACUUUGACCGUGCUAAGGUAGCGUAAUCAGUUGGCUUUUAAAUGGAGUCAGGUAUGAAUGGAUUAAACGGAAUUUAGCUGUCUCUAAUUUAAUUUAUAGAAAUUACUGUGAAGGUGAAAAAGCCUUCAAAAAGAAAAAAGACGAGAAGACCCUAAGAGUUUUUUUGAAUGUAGGAAAAUUCUUAUAAUGAUUUAGUUGGGGCAACAUAAGAACAGAUUUAACUUCUUUAAAGCUAUAUAUCGAUUUUUAUAAAAAUAAAUAAACUACCUUAGGGAUAACAGCAUAAUUUAUUAAUUAAGUUUGUGACCUCGAUGUUGGACUAGGAAACUGAAAGGCUAGCCGCUUUUUAGAAAGGUUCUGUUCGAACUAUUAACUCCUACGUG